UGGGGAAUCUUGCGCAAUGGGCGAAAGCCUGACGCAGCGACGCCGCGUGAGUGAUGAAGGCCUUCGGGUUGUAAAGCUCUGUGGGGAGAGACGAAUAAGUGCAAGCUAAUACCUUGCAUGAUGACGGUAUCUCCUUAGCAAGCACCGGCUAACUCUGUGCCAGCAGCCGCGGUAAGACAGAGGGUGCAAACGUUGUUCGGAAUUACUGGGCGUAAAGCGAGUGUAGGCGGUUUCCUAAGUCAGGUGUGAAAGCCCCGGGCUCAACCCGGGAAGUGCACUUGAAACUGGGAGGCGAGAGUACUGGAGAGGUUGGUGGAAUUCUCGGUGUAGAGGUGAAAUUCGUAGAUAUCGAGAGGAACACCGGUGGCGAAGGCGGCCAACUGGACAGAUACUGACGCUGAGACUCGAAAGCGUGGGGAGCAAACA
rnacentral:rRNA from 1 species